rnacentral:rRNA from 1 species
UGGGGAUAUUGCACAAUGGGCGAAAGCCUGAUGCAGCGACGCCGCGUGGGGGAUGAAGGCUUUCGGGUUGUAAACCUCUUUCGCUAUCGAACAAGGCCCGCUUAGGGUGGGUUGAGGGUAGGUGGAGAAGAAGCGCCGGCUAACUACGUGCCAGCAGCCGCGGUAAUACGUAGGGCGCGAGCGUUGUCCGGAAUUAUUGGGCGUAAAGGGCUUGUAGGCGGCUUGUUGCGCCUGCUGUGAAAACGCGGGGCUUAACUUCGCGCGUGCAGUGGGUACGGGCAGGCUUGAGUGUGGUAGGGGUGACUGGAAUUCCAGGUGUAGCGGUGGAAUGCGCAGAUAUCUGGAGGAGCACCGAUGGCGAAGGCAGGUCACUGGGCCAUUACUGACGCUGAGGAGCGAAAGCGUGGGUAGCGAACAGG